rnacentral:lncRNA from 1 species
CAAACCAUGCAGCAGGCAUCGUGGGAAUUUCUGGGAGAGAAGGGAGAUCAAGCAGACACGGUCCCUGGAAGCAAGUGUGUAAACAAAGAAGCACAACCAAGGGAUUCAUAAACACAUGCUGGCAGAAUGUAUGUAUAGGGGUGGCUGCUUUGCACAAAUCAGGAUCAGGAAUUUUUUAUAAAGAAGGUGAUUCUUAAGUUGAGCGUCACGUAAUGAAUAAGUACUUGCCGAGGCAGGGUGGGGUGGAAAGGGCGGUGUUAAAGGCAAAAGGAAGGUUCAACAAAGGCUGAGUUGCAACACAGCUUGGUGGGCUGGAGAAUUGCAGGACUCUCUGAAGAGUCAGGAGCCUAGAUUGUGAGAUGGAGUCUCACUCUGUUGCCAGGCUUGAGUACAGUGACGCGAUCUCGGCUCAUUGCUACCUCCACCUCCCGAGUUCAAGCGAUUCUCCUGCCUCAGCCUCCCGAGUAGCUGGGACUACAAGCACACACCACUACGCCCAGCUAAUUUUUGUAUUUUUAGUAGAGAUGGGGUUUCACCAUGUUCGCCAGGGUCGUCUCAAUCUCUUGACCUCGUGAUCUGCCCACCUUGGCCUCCCAAAGUGCUGGGAUUACAGGCAUGAGCCACUGUGCCCGGCCAUGAGUAUAAGGUUGGUAUUGCAGUUAUGGUGUUCUGAAUCAAGUGUGGCUAUUUUGACUCUGGUCACUCACAUGAGCAGCUGGUAGGUUGGGUGGGCACUGGCCAGUCUAGGAUGGUCUUAGCAUGGAUGGGCUCCACCCUGCUUCAUGUGUUCUUUCAGCACACUUCAGCAUACUAACCUGGGCUUUUUCUCAUAGUGGAGGCAGAGUUCCAAAAGAGAUGGGAACAUGUAGGGCCUUGAGGACUAUGUCUGGAACAGGCACAGUCAUUUCUACCACAUUCUUUGUAGCAAAUUCAGUCCUGAUUCAAAGGAUGGAGAAAGAGACUCAACUUCUUCAUAGUAUGAGCUGUAAAGUUAUAUUGCUAAGGGCAUAGAUCCAAGUGAGCCAUUAAUUUUAUCUGUCAGUGCAAUUAACCAACCAUACCAGAAAUCAACUUAUUAUAAAGCUAUAGUAACUAAUUCAGUAUGAUAUUGGUGUAGAAAUAGAUAAGCAGAAUAAGGAUAUGGUAUUAUGACCCAAAAGAGACUCGUAUGAUAAUAAAAUAUCAUAAUGACAAAGAGAGUGUUGCAAAGUCUCUGUGGAGAAAAUGGUAGACUAUUUAACAAAUGGUUCUAUAACAAGAGGCUCUCCAUAUUGGAGGGGUGGUAGGGGAAAUGGUUCCUUC